rnacentral:rRNA from 1 species
GAGGGAAAGGUGAAAAGCAACCAUGAAAAAUGGGUUGAAACAGUAGUGAAAGCGCUACCGGGAUAAGGGCUAUCGGGUGCUGGGGCUCUUUGGGUGUGCUUUAGUGCUACCCUCCGAGACGGCCCGCGAGGGUUGAUGUUGGGGCGAUAGACGCACUGCAGGAAUUCAGCUGCCUUUGGGCAGUGUUGUAGCCUGCGGUUGCUGAUCCUCCUGCGACCUUGUGUGAUUGCGGGUCUUGCGACCGUUAGCCGCCCGUCUUGAAACACGGACCAAGGAGUGCACCUUGCAUGCGAGUCGAAGGGAUUUGAAACCUGGAGGCGUAGCGAACGCGACGAUGGGGAAUGUCCUUGUGGCAGACACCCGCACCCGCCUUGUGCGAGGUAGAGCAUGUACGGUGCGACCCGAAAGAUGGUGAACUAUGCCCGGGUAAGGUGAAGCCAGUGGAAACGCUGGUGGAGGCCUGUAGCGAUUCUGACGUGCAAAUCGAUCGCGUAACCUGGGUAUAGGGGCGAAAGACCUAUCGAACCGUCUAAUGGCUGGUUCCCUCCGAAGUUUCCCUCAGGAUAGCUGCGUUCCUAAUGAGAGUCAGUUGCAUUGCGGUAGAGCGAAUGAUUAGGUGUCUCGGGGCCAUCAUGGCCUCGGCUCAUUCUCAAACUCCGAAUUGCGUGCGAUCCCGUUGCUGUGACCUUGUGGCACGCCGGGAAAAUGACAGGACGCAAGUGGGCUGGUUUUGGUAAG